rnacentral:tRNA from 1 species
GCGGAUGUGGCGGAAUUGGUAGACGCAUACGAUUCAGGGUCGUACGCCAAAAGCAUGAGAGUUCGAGUCUCUCCAUCCGCACCA